UUCAUCAUCGAUUUCUGACCAAAAACAAAAAUCAAAAUUCAUCUCUCUUCUUUACUGCUACUAUUACUACUCUCUAUUUCUCUUUACUGCUACUGAGCAUUCUACACCUCCAUUUCUUGCUGCUUGAACUCCUGGAAACUUGGGAGUUUCUUGAGUUUGUUCCUAUUUAUUCCUGGCUGUCUGCUUGCUAUUGUUAGUCUGCUAUCCUAGAAUUAUUAAUGGUAUGCUCUUUUAUGUUACAUAGCAUCCUUGUUCAAUUCCUAUGCUUCUAACCCUUUUCUUUCU
rnacentral:lncRNA from 1 species